GGACCGCUGUUGUAGGAGGGAUAGUGGGGAACGCGGAGUAUAAAAGGUAAUUUAAUUUAUAUACAAACUAAACGAUUCCCGGGCGAAAACCGUUUGUCGAUUUCCGGGUUACCUCGGCAACGAGGGAAAAACAAGACUCCGCUCAGAAUCUUUAGAUUCUAAGUGGAACCAGGAAUGUAUUGGUUUUACUAUGAUGUUUAUUUUCUAUUUUUUUUAUGAACGAUAACGCUUUUUCUAAAAGGAAAUCUGAUUGGAGAGGUACAUUAGGGAACUCGUUUUUAGAUUUUCCCAAGAGUUGUCCCAAUAAAUUAUUUAAAACCGAGGAGAACGUAGGAAAAAUGGGAAAAUUGAAUCAAC